GGAAAAAAUUUUUUAAUCGAUAUUUGAUAAUAAUAAAUAUAAUCUACAAUAUAUAGUUAUUAAACUUUGAAAAGUUUGCUUAGAUUAGCAAAAAUUAACAUUUAAAACAACAAUCAUUCCUUUCAAGGACAUGCCUUGUAUAUGCAGCAUCAGACAAGUCACACCAGAAUUGGUUUGUGGCUGUACACAUCGAUGGACCUUAUUGAAUUAAACUUAAAAUUUCAGCUUUACACAAUAAGCAAAAGAUCUUAUUUUCUGAGUGUUUUGCUCCAGUUUCAACUGCAUUCAGUUUGUCUUCUAUAUCUUUGUUACCAGCACUUUUCUCUGUUAGCAUUGCAUAUUCAUCAUCAUCAUUUUUAUUAUUUACUGUAACUGGGUUGCCUGAUAUUGUCCAACACCUCUUGCAGCUGCUCUCUAUUUCAGUUUUCUGUGCUGUUUCUUUAGAUAGAGAAAAUGAAAAAAAAAAAAAAGAUCUACUUUUAUAUCACUUCCAAACAUUACCUCGUACGGAGAUCUCUGCAUUCC
rnacentral:lncRNA from 1 species